GUUGAUUCGUCUGUACUUGAUUCAGCUUGAAAGUCACCGAUAACAUUAUAUGAAGGGGAAAAAACCCUAGAAAGUUGCAAGUAGUAAAAGAUCAGUGUCCUCUAUUAACCUCCAAUCAUACAACAGUUGAAGUAACUCAGGAUCCUCCUCCUCCUCGUGGACGUCUGAUCGCGGCGGUGGUCGUCGUCGUCAUGGAUGUCGCCACUGGAAACAUGAUGGAUGUUUCUAGGGCGAGGUAUGAGCUCUACCUCGUUGCCGACGCUGGUGCGGGACAAAUCAUUCUUGUUCUGCUUCCUCAUCUCCCUGAUCUUGGUGAAGUCCAUGGAGUAGUCCGGCAUAGCUCCGUCCUUCAUCUCCCACUCGCCGAAAGCCGGCACCGACUUCCACUCCAUCUCUCUACGAUCUUCCAUGAGAGAGGUAAGGGAAAG
rnacentral:misc_RNA from 1 species